ACGGUUGGGAUUCUAACUGAAGGAAAGGCAGGGAACUAGAGGGCACAGAGCUUCAAAACCCUGUCUGACAAAAUUAUCUCUGCCCUGGUCCUGUCAUCUUGUCGGAGCGUGCACCCUCGGAGGACCGCUUGCAGUGAAGCAGGCCUCUUUCAGAGGUGACCCCAACACCCACCCCCGCUUAAAUGUCUUGUUCACCCUAUCUCAGCCGUUAAGUUUAUCACGGGAACCUCAGUCACCCUGGGAAAACGUAUUCUAGUGAGCACUAAUGAAGGCCUAAAUGGAUAAAUUGUUCCGGAACUUGUGAGGAGCAAAGACGGUAAAGAAGUGUUUAACCAGUGUCCUGGGGCCAGCAGUCAGGAGGACUGGCAGGGUACCAGGGCAGCACCCCACCGCAAAUUGGACACAUAUAUAUCUACCGGAGAAAGAUACCAAAAGGAAGUCGAGGGGUGCAUCGAGGACUAGUCCCAGUGGAGAAGCAAUUGCAGUAUACUAGCCAGACAGUACUACCCCAUAACCUCCCAGAAGAAAGACUCAGUUCAACACUGUGUGACUCCAAAAGAUAUAACACAAGCAAGAAUCUAAAACACACAUUGGCCCUUGUCAUUUAAGAUAGUGCACAGCAAACUAGGCCACCUCUGUUUGACAGUACGACAGCUAUUCCCACAGUGGCUUUAGAACGCUAUUUGAAAAAUCAGAUUAUUUAUUUUUUUAAAAGGCUGCAUCAAUUGUCAGGCUUGUCUUUCUUUUAGUUUAUCUAAAUGGGACCAUCCUUAUCUGCAAGGACACAGAUACCUGUGUGGGAGGCAGUCUGCAUCAUACAAAUGUGCUACUACGUGGUAAUGAUCUUUCUGGUUGCAUUGAGGUGUUCUGCAUUACAAAAGCCUACAGUGUAUUAGCAGCAAGGCUUGAACACAGGAAAAUAUCAUUCGCUUGGGUAUCUAAAAGAACGAAAUAGCACAGAAUGGCACGAAUUCAUUCCAAUAUUUUCACAUAUUUAAAACUCAACUUGUUUGCUUAAUUCUUUGAAAUGAUGCUUAUUUGCAUGGUGCUCAAAUGUCUCCCAGAGGGGUAAGUGGUCUACAAAAACUCUUCAUCUCCAUUCGUUGCUCAAGCACCUCCAGAACAAAAGUCCUGUUGGGGAAAUAGUCUGCUCCAGUGGGGGCUGAGAGGCACUUUUAUUUUCAAUGGGAAGAAAGAGAUUGAGUUACACUUUAAAUUUUGGUAAUAGCAAGUUGUUCCCUGUAAGCCAGUGCUUGCAAAUUCCCCUCUACUCUCUGCUGGCUCGACAUUGGAAGGCAACUUUCAGAACAUGAGGCAGGAACAUCUUCCCUUCCAAAUGUGCUCAUGUGAAGACAGCAUCUUUGGAGUUGCUACCUCGGCAAAAUAAAAAUCACUCCAUUGGAUACAACUAUACAGUACCCGUGUAAACAAAGCUUUACUGUAAAAGUGAAGGAUGUGAGUUCGUUUUUUAGUGGUACCUAGUUAUGUUGGGGUCAAAGAAGCCAUUUCAUCGCUCUGGGCCUCAGUGACAUUAUCUGCAAAAUGAACACGAUAAUUGUCCUUUUUAGGAAAUCAUUUACAAGAUUCUAAGUGGAGAAUGUCGAUAUAAUACGCUGGCUGGCAUGCAGUCACUGUUCAGUGGAUCUCCGUAAGCUGUCACGCAACAUUAUAUUCAGGACUGGAGCUUUAGGUGGCUUUACACCCAGCACAGAAAUGACCGUUUCAAAAAUGUUUUUGUGUGGCGAGGGCUUAAAGUACAGUAUCAUUUACAAAGAGACAGCACAAGCAUUCCCAGAUGUCAGCACAUACUUUUAGAAGUGAGAUCUUACAGGCAGACAUAAAAUGUUCGAGCUGGUCAUUACCCUGAGCUCUGGAACAGAGUGAGAGGUGUGUACCUUUAAGCUCAAGAUCUAGGAAGAAGUUGUCAAGUCUCUUUACUGACAGCUGCCCCCAAGGUCAAGCCCAGGUGUGAAUCACAAUGAGUUAACAAAGGGAAAGAGGUCACUUGAAAGUGACUGGCCUAUGUGCUGAAGCCUUCUCCCCUUAGCUGGUACCCUGGAGGUCUUAACAAACAAGAAAAUCCUGGAUUCAGUCAUUCCUCUUCUCGCUAGAAUAGUUUCCCAUCUCUCUAGGAGAUGUGAUCUCAAACAGUUUGCUUAGAUCCACUAGCCAGCAGCAAACAUGCAGAAUCAUUCCAGUUUUGUUUCUUGUCUAGAUCUCUUAAGCUUCCCAACAUGCAUAAAUCAUAAAGACAAUGAAACCGACCCCUCGCAAUCUUACACAUGAGAGACCGGACCCCAGAGAGGUUUAGCAUUCCCUCGAGGUCAGAGGCUCACUGAUGGUAGAGCUGACAUUAAAGACUUCACUCCGGAUCUCCCUCCAGUCCCUUCCACAACCCACAUGUGACUUUCAAUAGAGACAAGAGGUUAGCAUCCCUUUACAUCAAAACACGGUGACUCAAAGGAAAGUUUUCCUCUGGGGACAAGACAGGCCACUUCAAUGGAAGCAUCGGUUUGCCCAAUAUUCAUUGAAACACAGCAAGCCGUGCUGGCCUAUCAGCGUUUUCUGGAGGCCUCAGCAAGCUGUGGCCUGAUAUGAAUGGAAGAAAGGAGGAGGCUGCUUAAGCAGUGAGAAGAGCCAGGCUAUAAAGCAUCAGUGAUUAUGCACAACUUGAAUGAGAAAAGCUGAGUUUAAUUCCACACAUGCUCUCUGUUAAAGUAUUAACUGAGUAACCACAUUAGCAACACUGUUGAAGAUGGAGAGUGUGUCCUUGUGCAAAUAGAUAGUCAAAAUUAAUCUGACUUUUAUCUUUACAGCUAAGACAACAUUUUCUGCCAAAAUAAACACAAACCACACACGUU
rnacentral:lncRNA from 1 species